rnacentral:misc_RNA from 1 species
ACAAACUUGGUCAUUUAGAGGAAGUAAAAGUCGUAACAAGGUUUCCGUAGGUGAACCUGCGGAAGGAUCAUUACUGAGAGAGGGUGGUAAACAGCCCGCCCGACCUCCAACCCAGUGUCUACCUGACCUUUAUUGCUUCGGCAGGCCCGCCGCUUUGGUGGCCGCUGGGGGCGUAUACGUCCCGGGUCCGCGCCUGUCGGUAGCCCCCCAUAACUUCUGGCGAAACAAUGUUGUCUGAAUAAUCUAUUAAAACAAAAUAUACCAAAACUUUCAACAACGGAUCUCUUGGUUCUGGCAUCGAUGAAGAACGCAGC